UACGAAGGGGGCUAGCGUUGUUCGGAUUUACUGGGCGUAAAGCGCACGUAGGCGGAUCGUUAAGUCGGGGGUGAAAUCCUGGAGCUCAACUCCAGAACUGCCUUCGAUACUGAUGAUCUAGAGGUCGAGAGAGGUGAGUGGAAUUCCGAGUGUAGAGGUGAAAUUCGUAGAUAUUCGGAAGAACACCAGUGGCGAAGGCGGCUCACUGGCUCGAUACUGACGCUGAGGUGCGAAAGCGUGGGGAGCAAACAGG
rnacentral:rRNA from 1 species